rnacentral:rRNA from 1 species
CCCUACGGGGGGCAGCAGUGAGGAAUAUUGGUCAAUGGUCGGGAGACUGAACCAGCCAAGCCGCGUGAGGGAUGAAGGUACAGAGUAUCGUAAACCUCUUUUGUCAGGGAACAAAGGCGGGGACGCGUCCCCGGAUGAGUGUACCUGAAGAAAAAGCAUCGGCUAACUCCGUGCCAGCAGUCGCGGUAAUACGGAGGAUGCGAGCGUUAUCCGGAUUUAUUGGGUUUAAAGGGUGCGCAGUCGGUCUGUUAAGUCAGCGGUCAAAGCCCGGGGCUCAACCCCGGCCCGCCGUUGACACUGGCCGU